CCCCCACCCAUGUUUGUAGGAUCCCAAAGGAUCACCAUAAAAUUUGGUACAGAUCUCUAAAAACGUUAUCACAUGGAUGUGAGACUUGACUUUUUUAAAGAUCUGUUCCAAAUUUAAUAGUGAUCCUUUGGGAUCCUACACACAUAGGUGGGAG
rnacentral:pre_miRNA from 1 species